rnacentral:tmRNA from 1 species
GGGAGUGCUAAGGUUUCGACAGGGUUAUCAGGUUAUAGGUAGCAGGUCAGGUUGAUCGCUGUGAGAGGUCAUUCAUCUAUUUAGAUGGAAACGAUAAUUACGCAUUAGCUGCUUAAUUAAGUAGCUUGCUCCAGGUUUCCGAGGCCGUUUAGGAAUCCUUAAGGAGUAUAACUUAUUUACGGCUUACCUUGUGCACUGUCUCGAUGUACGAGGGACAUUUAAGAGACUGGCAUUAUCUAAUCUUGUCUAUGGGAGUAGAUAGUGUGAGAUUAAAUUGUAGACUAAGCUUGUAGAAGCUUAUGGCGCUGGUAGUUCUGGACACGGGUUCGAUUCCCGUCACUUCCACCA